ACUCCUACGGGAGGCAGCAGUGAGGAAUAUUGGACAAUGAGGCAACUCUGAUCCAGCCAUGCCGCGUGCAGGAAGAACUGCCCUACUGGGUUGUAAACUGCUUUUAUUACGGAAGAAACACUCCUACGUGUAGGAACUUGACGGUACCGUAAGAAUAAGCAUCGGCUAACUCCGUGCCAGCAGCCGCGGUAAUACGGAGGAUGCAAGCGUUAUCCGGAAUCAUUGGGUUUAAAGGGUCCGUAGGCGGAUUAAUAAGUCAGAGGUGAAAGCCAGCAGCUCAACUGUUGAACUGCCUUUGAUACUGUUAGUCUUGAGUUAUUGUGAAGUGGUUAGAAUAUGUAGUGUAGCGGUGAAAUGCAUAGAUAUUACAUAGAAUACCGAUUGCGAAGGCAGAUCACUAACAAUAUACUGACGCUGAU
rnacentral:rRNA from 1 species